CCUACGGGUGGCAGCAGUGGGGAAUAUUGCACAAUGGGGGAAACCCUGAUGCAGCGACGCCGCGUGAGUGAAGAAGGAUUUCGGUAUGUAAAGCUCUAUCAGCAGGGAAGAAAAUGACGGUACCUGAUUAAGAAGCACCGGCUAACUACGUGCCAGCAGCCGCGGUAAUGCGUAGGGGGCAGGCGUUAUCCGGAUUUACGGGGUGUAAAGGGAGCGUAGACGGCAGCACAAGUCUGGAGGGAAAUGCCGGGGCUUAACCCCGGAACUGCGUUGGAAACUGGGCAGCUAGAGUGCAGCAGAGGUAAGUGGAAUGCCUAGUGUAGCGGUGAAAUGCAUAGAUAUCAGGCGGAACACCAGUGGCGAAGGCGGCUUACUGUACCGUAACUGACGCUGAGGCUCGAAAGCGUGGGGAGCAAACAGGAUUAGAUACCCUUGUAGUC
rnacentral:rRNA from 1 species